rnacentral:rRNA from 1 species
UACGGGGGGAGCAAGCGUUGUUCGGAUUUACUGGGCGUAAAGGGCGCGUAGGCGGUCAGCACAAGUCAGUUGUGAAAUCUCCGAGCUUAACUCGGAACGGUCAACUGAUACUGUGCGACUAGAGUGCGGAAGGGGCAACUGGAAUUCUCGGUGUAGCGGUGAAAUGCGUAGAUAUCGAGAGGAACGCCUGCGGCGAAGGCGGGUUGCUGGGCCGACACUGACGCUGAUGCGCGAAAGCCAGGGGAGCGAACGGG